AUACGUAGGUGGCAAGCGUUGUCCGGAUUUACUGGGUGUAAAGGGCGUGUAGGCGGAGAUGCAAGUCAGGAGUGAAAUCUAGGGGCUCAACCCCUAAACUGCUUUUGAAACUGUAUCCCUUGAGUAUCGGAGAGGCAGGCGGAAUUCCUAGUGUAGCGGUGAAAUGCGUAGAUAUUAGGAGGAACACCAGUGGCGAAGGCGGCCUGCUGGACGACAACUGACGCUGAGGCGCGAAAGCGUGGGGAGCAAACAGGAUUAGAUGCCCUGGUAGUCCACACUGUAAACGAUGAUUGCUAGGUGUGGGGGGUCUGACCCCUUCCGUGCCGCAGUUAACGCAAUAAGCAAUCCACCUGGGGAGUACGGCCGCAAGGCUAAAACUCAAAGGAAUUGACGGGG
rnacentral:rRNA from 1 species